GUGGCCGCAGCCUCCGAGUACUCAUUUUGUUAAUGUUUGGGUGUACUGAUUUGUCUAUUUGUGUAGGAAGAUGUACAUUUGUAAUGCUUUGCUCCUCCUCCUCCUGGAUCAGAAGAUAUUUGCGAACUUGCUCCUCGCGUUCAUACGGCAGAGAUCGUGGAAAGUGAUGACGAGGAGGAGGAAGAAGUAGUCGAGACCUGCAGCAGCUUUAGUUUUUAUGCUGCGGAGGAAUUUGAAAUCAAGGACUGUACAUCUGAUAAUGCUGGGUCAUCCUCUGGAUCAUUGAAGUGUGCAACUAAAGAUGAU
rnacentral:lncRNA from 1 species